CCUUGGCGCCGCAUGGAUGAAUCUGUUGGAUCUUCCCAACUCUCGUCUUUGUUUGCUCCUGCUCUGGAUAUUUAAUCUUUGUCCUGAUCAUGAAGCUUGAAGAAAAUGGUUUCAGAUUCUAGAAUGGAGAUCUUUUGGUGAGACUUGUGAGAGGGUUAGAACCCUACCCAGCUCUGAAGAUCUCUUUUGAUAUAUUCAAGACUAAAUUUAUGUAAUGGAAGGGAGGGUGGCUCCACCGUACUCCUCAGCAUAGCUCUGCUGCUUUCCGCCUUCCACACGAUGGUGACAGGAUUUCCGGCUAAUGUACAGAGUUGUAGAUUCUCCAUUAAAAGUGGAAUCGCUUUAAGAAAAACCAGGCCGGUGUUCGGUUGGCAGUGAAUGGGAUCAUCUUCUUUACUCAGUCAACAACAACAUACCAGAUCCAGAUCUGAACUUCUGAGUGCAAAGGAUCACCGUGAGCUGCAGAUCAGACAGAGCUCUUAUGGUGGAGCACAGUCGCUACAGAACAACAUUGUUGUUUGACACUUUCAUUCUCCCAUUAAGCGCUCUGAUAGGGAACGUUUUAAGGCAUCGAAGAAAGGGAAAUCAUCGGUGAAUUAGCUUGCUUGACUUGGGUUCUUCGAUUGAGCGAGUCUUCCAUCGGCUCCGACUCGACCUCAGCUCUAGUUAGUCUCCGGUUCAUCGGAUUGCAGGGUGAGCUAUCCUUCUAGCUGGCGAUGGAAUCUCUUGUCAUGGCAUGGUGUCCUUAGUUUUCGGACACACUAUGUUAAUUGUUUAUUCUGGUGUUGAUAUUUUCAGACUUAGUUUUAGAAUUUAGAUGUCCUUCAUGUGAUGACUUUCAGAUUUUGGGAAAAACGUAUUUAUUUGAGCUUUCGCGUUAUUGAUAUAUUUAUUAGUUGGAGUUUGUAUUGUUGGUUCUCUCACUUAGGAGGUUAAGUGUAGGUGUCACUCAUGGCCCAUUUUGGGUCAUGACAGUAGUUAGGAUCCUGGUGAUGUAAAUUUAGGAGAUAACAACAUAAAUUUUAUAAAAUUAAAAGACAUUAUCAGUGAGUUUAGAUAGGAGGUCGAUUUGUUAAUUAACAAAUAGCUAAUUAAAACACCU